CUACGCUCAGGCAGCCAACACAUCAGCACCACGCAUCAGGGCUGCUCCUUCCAAUUUAACAACAUGGGUCUGGGAAAAGAAAUCACCUGGUGAACCAAGAAUAGGAAAGAGUAGGGUGGAAAAAAAAAGCCUUGACAGAGAGUCUGGAUUUGUCCGGGGAUAUUUUCCCAGCUCGGGCUUCCUGAUGACUCAGCUGCUCCUACGUGGGGAAGCUCUCCCUCAGCCAGCACUGCCUGGGAGAUGAAGCCAGUGAUUUCCCACUAGCUAUCAGCCAGGACAAAAAUUACCAAUAAAAGGAUACACUUAAAUGUCCCCCCAGUAGAGACUAUUGUUUACUGGGCUAUUGAGGGAGUGAAAAUAUCAGAGCAAAGUCCAGAGAGAAGACAGACAAGAGAAUAGAGUCAAUGGACGAAAAGAAAAGAAAACAGGGAGACCAACUUGGCCAAAGAUGCAGAGAGGAAGACAAACAGAACCAGCAGGAAAAGAAAAGCCCCACGUCACAAGGACCUCCACAUUCAGAUCAAUGCAGGCAUGUGUGUGAUAGACCCAAAAACCAAAUAGAAACCCUCAAAUCGCCUAACUCCCAGAACAGGCAAAUUUUUGCCAAGUUCAUGAUUUGGCAGAGUUCUUGCAUAUUCCAUACAAUUUCAAUGAGAAGCUGUAUCCAUCUUGUUCUAAGAGCAGAUUGUCAUUUUCCACUUGAAAUACACACGUUGCACUGA